GAUCCUCCCUCUUGUCUCUAGAAUCCUUUUUGAUCCUGUGAUACUUGUUGUUGUCCUUGGAUGGUCAUUCUUGUUGAGUGAUAACCAGGGCAGCUCUACUGUAUAAACAGAUCGAUCUGGUGAUAAGAGAUGAUGGGGGUAGGUUAUAUGAUCGAGGAAAGGUAAAUCUGAGCCCACUAUGCAAUAAAACUGCAGCUACCUCCCCUAAUGUGUGUAAUAUUGAAGGAAAAAAAGAAUUUUUCAUGUCUUGCUACUUUAAAAUUCCAAAAGGUUCAUUCUCCCUUUGCUGGUUACUUAACCAUGUUUUUUUUGUUUUGCUUUGGUUUUGGUUGAGAUACUAAAGGUUGUUUAUAUAUGAAAAGAACAGACACUUAUAGUUUUGUAUGCCUCAACUGUAGCUUAGGAUCCAGUAUUGUAGUGCUUUGCCUAAUUAAAAAAACUCUAAUCAAUAAUAGUCGUUCUUUCCUUGUGAUUUGAACUCUAAGAGGGCCAUUGAUUCUUGAUCUUAAGGUGACCCCAUUUUUCUAUGCCUCAUGCUCAUGCUGCUCUAUGUUCCUUUUUAAAAAUUCUUGCUUGCAUUUUGGGUUGGUUUUCUGCUCUAGGUUCCCUUUAGCGUUUCUUUUCGUUGUUGUUGCACUCCCUUUUCUGUAUACUACAUGAUAUUUUUGUAUCUCAUUCUUCCGCUUCUUGGUUAUUAGAUGCUUUGAGUUUGAGUGGCUUGAAGAUACAGAUUGCACAAUGUUCUGUUCUGUCAUAUGCCAUCUUGAUAUGGAUACAAUGUUAGCUUUUGAUAUGAGUUAGGAUUAUGUUGCCCCACCAGCCUGAAAAUGUGAUAAAUAAAAGCCUACAAUGCUCGUUUAUUUGUAUUUACAGGCUUCGUUGUGCAGAUAAUUUACUCUUUGUUCCAUAGGAUCACAUUUGGUAGUGGCGUGACCUGAACCUUGAUGCUUUCUUCUUGCUGCUGCUGCUGUAUUCUGUAGUGGAACUGUUAGAUAAGGUAGUUAACUAUCUAGCCGUAGGUCUUAGUAAUGGAACAAAAACCUACUUCACCUUGGAGGAUCACCACGUCCAGUCUCCCUCGCUCCCUCACUUCCUCCCUCCCGCCUCAAAACCCUAGCACCCAUGACCAUGGCGACUCCACUAGAGGUGCAGCAAGCAGGUGCUGCUGUGUGAAGGAUAGGAGAAGAGGGUAGAGGAGAGGACUGCUACUGUCUCACCUACUUCUCCGUCUUCUUCUUCUACUACGUCCUAUGUUGGUCCGACCAGGAGGCGUUGCCAUCGAUUAUAGGGUGUUGGACCAACGUCCUCGUGUUCGUGCAUCUUCGGGAAGAAACGACCCGAGGUGAGUCACCUCUGGUCCGCCGCACGAAGAGCGCGGGAGGUUAGACCGCAAGGGCAGAGGUGCAGUCCUCCAGGGUCGCGGGGAGAAGAAGAUGGGACUCAUAUACAAGCCUCUCUCUCGUGGUGAACACUCUUCCCUGGAAUUGAUGGAAGAUCUGCCUUGCAGCCUUAGAGGAUCCAUGCAUCGUGUGAUGUGUGGCCUACAGGCUACCAAUGCAACUAAUGUAGUCCUACACAACGCAAAUAAUUUUUAGUUUUCAUUCGUUCUAUCUUUAUCUUCAGUUCUUCAGUCUAUCUUGGAGGUAGGGGAUUGUUGUAUAAGUCUGUCAAUAUUUCUCAAUAUCCUAAUUAAUUCAUCCAUUCUUUGUAUCUCGUCCCUGAACUACAUGAGGCGGUUUUUUCCGGAGUUGCUUUAUUUAUUCCAUUACUUCUCCUCUGGUUUGGCCGGAGUCCUUUGCUUCAAGCUCUUUCCCCUGAUGGAAAAAAUUCAUGUUUUUUGGCAGUGUCGCCUCAAUAUAAAUACUAAGUUCUCCCGUCACUAGAUUUUAAUAUUUCAUGAAGAUGGUCCGGUUUUCACCUUAGGUUCAGUUACAUGCAUUCUGUUACAUGCAUUCUGUUGCAUGCAUUCUGUUUAUUUUUUCCAGUCGUUCACUUCUUUUUUUUGUUCUUGUGCUAUUUUCAUAACUGGGAUCCAUAACACUCACUCUUUUUUGUGUGUAAUCUAUGGUCAUCCAAAAAAUACCAAGGAAAACUGGUGGGACUAUGGUUUGGCAAGCAGAGCUUUACUAGGACUGAGCAUGACGAACAAGUAUGGAUGCAAGAAUUUUCUCCUGAAAAUAGGACUUGAGAUAUUCUCCAUGUUUGAUGGCCAUGACCGAGGUGUGAUGUUUUUGUAUUUGCUGGGAUUUCCUAGGACCAGGAGUCCAGGACCAUGAUACUCGUAGUACUGUUCCAUGGCACUGACAGUGAAACAGAUCACAUGCUCAGCAAGAAAACAAAGUCUCAGCCUACUACCUGCAGGACUUUAGUCUUUAAUGACUAAAUGAACGGAUCACAUCAGGUCCCAGCAAUGGCUUCUGUUCCAGUUUCGACUAAGGUCCUGCUUGAUGCUAUGUUAGAAAAGGUUGGCCUUCCAGCAGCAACCUACCUUUACUAUUAGGUUUUCAUAAUUUUGACUACAUAAGUAUGUGUGAUUACUAAACUAUGGCCUAUUCAUGCAAUCCUUUAUUUAAGCUUUUAUAUGAGUGCAUUAGAUGCUGGUGCAUUUGUUUUGCAUGUUUUUUCCAGAUGUUAUAUUAUCUAUUUACAAGUCUCUCAUGAAGGAGUA